rnacentral:miRNA from 1 species
GUUAAUAUAAAAUAUGAAUUUGUCAAAAUAUGAAAAAACGCGGCUAAAUAUUUGUUCUAAUUUGAAUUAGAUCGGGUAUCUUAUAUAUAUAUAAGAUACCCGAUCUAAUUCAAAUUAGAACAAAUAUUUAGCCGCGUUUUUUCAUAUUUUGACAAAUUCAUAUUUUAUAUUAAC